AUGAGUAUAUCAGGUACUAUUGGGGUCAUCAGUGGCAUCAACGAAUGUGUCAAUUUGUUUCAGUGGGCAAGGUCUUCUAUUUCAUCUCUGCACUCCCGAUGGAGUGGUAAGCAAGAGCAAAAUCUUCAGGAUGAGGUACUGCACUUGCAGAGUGGCCUACAAGGUCUUAGUGAUACUCUUCCGGCAAUGUACGACCUCAUUGAUCGGGCGGAGUGGAGGAGCCACAAACACUGUGUGGCCGAGCUCCUUCCAAAAUUCAGUGAUGCGGUGUAUGAUGCGGAGGACAUUCUUGAUGAGUUCAGGUGGUAUGAGCAGAAAGUGACAGUGGAGGGCAUUGCAAGCCAAUCUCCUUUUAUCGAUUUCUUUAACUGUGUCAUUCAGCGCAGUUUCAACAAAGUGAAGGAUAUCCAGAAAAGGCUGGAGAAUCUUUCUAAUCUGCUUGAGAAGAUGGGCUUGGGUGAAGCGACACCACGUUUUGACAAAUCAGUCAGGCCAGAGACUAGUUCUUUUCCUAUUGAGUCAAUAAUGUUUGGCCGUGAUCAGGAGUUAAAUCAGGUGAUACAAUUGCUAGUUGUAAGAGAAGAUGAUAGUACCACGAAAUCACAUUCCAAACAGAAGAGAGAAUGUCGCACAAGCAAUUCAUCAAAAAGAACAUUAGCAACAAUCAACCAUGUUUGUAAUGAACAAGAAAAUCAUCUUGCUGUUUUGCCAAUAGUUGGAAUUGGGGGUGUUGGAAAAACCACUAUGGCUCAACAUAUCUACCAACAAGUGAAGCCUCAUUUCAAAAGGACAAUUUGGCUUUCUGUCUCAGAUGACUUUGACGUCAAGAGGUUAACUAAAGAAGCCUUGCAAUCCAUUUCUGGAGAGGAAGGAACUGGCCAGUUGGACUCGCUUCAACAUGCUCUUCAUAAAACUGUGUGCCAGAAAAUGCUACUUAUUGUCCUUGAUGAUCUGUGGGACGAUGCCUUGAAGGAGAAUGGGCAAUCUUGGAAGAGAUUCUGUGCACCUUUAAAAAAUGUGAGGAAGGGAAGCAUUAUGUUGGUCACCACUAGGUCCCAAAAGGUUGCCGAUGGAGUGCGCACAAUGGAGACAUUGAAAUUAAAUGGCUUGAAGGAUGAUGUCUUUUGGAAUUUCUUCAAACUAUGCAUGUUUGGAUCCGAGAGGUUUAGCAAUGAUCAUGAGUUAGAGCAAAUUGGUAGAAGCAUACUUCCUAAGCUGAAGGGUUCUCCUUUAGCUGCAAAAACUCUUGGACGCCUGCUAAGGAUGAACCGUCACAUGACAUAUUGGAAUAAUGUUCUAGAGAGUGAAUUGUGGGAGUUAAGGCAACAGGAGGAUGACAUUUUGCCAGCCCUUCGGUUGAGCUACAUGUACUUACCAUUCCACCUGAAGAGAUGUUUCUCAUUAUGUGGUGUGUACCCUAAAGAUCAUGAAUUUGAGAAGGAUUAUUUAGCUGAAAUUUGGGUGGCGGAAGGCUUUGUGGAACCUCAGGGGGACAUUCCAAUUCAGGAUAUUGCUAGUCAGUACUUUGAAGAUCUUGUAAGUCGAUCUUUCUUUCAGAAAGUACACGGAGCAUAUGUAAUCCAUGACUUGCUUCAUGACAUGGUCCAAAUGGUUUCAAAGAAUGAUUGCUUCAUAUUAAAAAAUGUGAACGAUUUCCAAAAGAUUCCUAAGAAUGUUCGUCAUCUAUCAGUACUCUCUAACUCAAAGUUUGAUUAUUCAAAGCUGUUCAGCCUAUGCAAGCAUGAGAAGCUGCGUACCCUGAUUUGCAACAUGCCCUUGGAGGAUAAAGUUGUAGCACUUGUAAUGGAUCAUUGGUGUACUGAACUUGGGCGUAUGCGCGUGAUUAUUUGUGCCUCUACAACUGGGUUACCGAUUCUUUAUAUUGGGGAAUGCAAGAUAGAAAGUUUACCCAGUGACUUGGAUAAGUUGAUCAGCUUGAGGAGAAUUGAAUUAUGUGGAUUUCGAUAUUAUCUAGAGUAUCAACUAAACUGCGAUGCACUAGAAGCUAAACAAAAAAAGAGAUAUCUUCACGGUCUAAAAGUGCACCGGUCUUCGAUGAUGACUCGACAGAACAAUGGGACAGAAGCACUUCACCUUUUACAACCUCCCAAUGGUCUAAAAUCUUUGCAACUCCGAGAUUAUCCAGAUGUGUCUCUACCAAGAUGGUUUCAGCCACAAAAGUUAUCAAGCUUAAUAUCAUUUGCAAAUAUUGGUAUUUUCACUUCCCUGAUGGAUCUAGCAAUUUCUGAUUGCCACAAGUUAUCAAGCCUUGAGCAUUUUCUACAUCCAGCUUCUAUACCAGCCAUCAAGAAAAUAGUAGUUAAAAAUUGCGAGAGGUUAAUAUCAGUACCAACUGAAAGAUUCGUGGAGUUCCAUUGCCUUGAAGAAUUGGAGGUGGUUUAUUGCCGAAAUAUCUGCUCCCAAAGUUUGGCGGCUCCUUCACUCAAGAGGCUUGUGCUGGGUUGUUCUGGGGAUUUAGCACACAAUAUUGAGUGUUGCUCCCUCACUAGCUUCUUCUUAUAUUAUUCCCGCCACACGUCCAUACACCUACAACAUCUUCCAGCCCUAAUGAGUUUGAGCAUUGCAAGGUGCGAGUCUCUUACAUCUGUGAGACCAGCGAUCUUCACUAACUUCUCCCAUUGCGGGUGCAGCGCCAACGGCAUUACAUCGUUCUUGUUCCUUAUGGUGCUAACCAUUAGCGGCUGCACUAAACUGUCAACCCUUGAUGGUCUCCUAACACAAGAAUGCCUGCCUGUCGUUGAGAGGAUUUAUAUUGCACACUGCGACGAGUUGCUCUCGCUACCCGGAGAAAGGUUUGGAAGUUUCCUUUGUCUCAAGGACCUGGAGAUUUAUGAUUGCCAACGUUUGGACUGGCAGAGGGGACUGGUGCUGCCGUCGACGCUCCAGAGGCUCGUACUGGGCCAAUGUGGGGAUAUAUCUGCAUGGGUUCCCAGCUGCCUGCAAAACCUCUCGUCACUCGUUUCGCUGGAGAUGUCUGAGUGCCCGGGCAUAACAUCCAUUCCAGGUGACAUUUGGAGGACGAACCUUGCAUCUCUAGAGGAGCUAUAUAUCACCGAUUGUCCAGACCUUGUCUCAAUUGGGGGAUUGGAGGCCGUUGCGCAGCUAGGCACGCUGCACAUUUCUGGCUGCCCAAAGAUGAUAGAGAUGUAG
rnacentral:rRNA from 1 species